rnacentral:rRNA from 1 species
CCUACGGGAGGCAGCAGUGAGGAAUAUUGGUCAAUGGACGAGAGUCUGAACCAGCCAAGUAGCGUGAAGGAUGACUGUCCUAUGGGUUGUAAACUUCUUUUAUAUGGGAAUAAAAUGUUCCACGUGUGGGAUUUUGUAUGUACCAUAUGAAUAAGGAUCGGCUAACUCCGUGCCAGCAGCCGCGGUAAUACGGAGGAUCCGAGCGUUAUCCGGAUUUAUUGGGUUUAAAGGGAGCGUAGGUGGAUUGUUAAGUCAGUUGUGAAAGUUUGCGGCUCAACCGUAAAAUUGCAGUUGAAACUUGCAGUCUUGAGUACAGUAGAGGUGGGCGGAAUUCGUGGUGUAGCGGUGAAAUGCUUAGAUAUCACGAAGAACUCCGAUUGCGAAGGCAGUUCACUGGACUGCAACUGACACUGAGGCUCGAAAGUGUGGGUAUCAAACAGGAUUAGAUACCCUUGUAGUC